CUCCAAGGAAUCUCCCACCCUGCACAGAAGUCUGAUCCAAUUUGCUGGGCCGCCCUCCUGAGACCCUCUGUUUCCAGAUGCACAUCCAAGCCAUAUUUUAGGUCAAAGUGGAAAACCGGAAACUCAGAGAGAAGGAACUCUCCCUAGGCCUCUGGACAGCAAGCUGCAGACAUGAGCUGUGUGAUGAAAUCUCUGAGUUGGAAGAUGUCACCAAGCCCUCCUGCCCAGUAUAAAAUAUCAAGUUGAUGAGGACCAACCAUCUCAUCAGAUUGCUAUGUUGAAAUUUCGGGCAUUGUGUCAAUGUGUUUUUA